rnacentral:rRNA from 1 species
AUACGGAAGGUCCGGGCGUUAUCCGGAUUUAUUGGGUUUAAAGGGAGCGCAGGCGGAGAUGCAAGCGUGACGUCAAAUUUCGGGGCUCAACCCCGUCUCGCGUCGCGAACUGCGUCCCUUGGUUGCGGGAAGGGGAGGCGGAACUCGUGGUGUAGCGGUGAAAUGCAUAGAUAUCACGAAGAACUCCGAACGCGAAGGCAGCCUUCCGGCCCGUCAACGACGCUCAUGCUCGAAGGUGCGGGUAUCAAACAGGAUUAGAUACCCUGGUAGUCCGCACAGUAAACGAUGGACACCCGCGGUUUGGCCUGUAUGGCUGAGCCGCCAAGCGAAAGCGUUAAGUGUCCCACCUGGGGAGUACGCCGGCAACGGUGAAACUCAAAGGAAUUGACGGGG